UACCCGCCCCCCGAGUGGUGGGGACUAUUACUGGGCUUAAAGCGCCCGUAGCCGGCCGGGUGUGUCCUCCGUUAAAUCCACGGGCCUAACCCGUGGGCUGCGGAGGAUACUACCCGGCUUGGGGGUGGGAGAGGGCGGCGGUAUUCCCGGGGUAGGGGUAAAAUCCACUGAUCCCGGGAGGACCACCAGUGACGAAGGCGGCCGCCCAGAACACGCCCGACGGUGAGGGGCGAAAGCUGGGGGAGCAAACGGG
rnacentral:rRNA from 1 species